UGGAAACAAAGUGGAAGACGGUGUGUGUGUUCCUUGUAGGUUGAAUACAUACGGCGAUCAAUGUCUUUUGACGUGUACCUGUUAUUUUGAUCAAAGGUGUCAUCAUGUUUUAGGAUGUGUUAAUGCAUCCACCAUUAUACGCUCAGCAUCCACAUUCACGACUAUUUGGAGCACAGAAAAUGUAACACAAAAAAGAACCACACUACUCGAAACUGUUGAAGAACUAAGAAUUACAAACCCAACUACGACAAGAAACAAUAACUAUGGGCUAUUAGACAGGGAAAUAGUUAUAUAUUCAGUGGUUGCUGCCUGCAUCCUAGUAAUAUUAGGACUGUCUUAUUUAGUUUUUAAAUACAGACAGAAGACUAAGAUAAAGUUUGAUAUGUCUAAUACCAUGCAGAACACACAUUCAAAUAGAAGACAUUCUUUGAUCAAUUCCAACCUUAGUAUAUACGACGAAAUUGACGAAAAUAUGAUUGUAGAAAAUUUAAAUAUAAAUAUGGUGCAUAUCAAUGAUAGAAUUAUUGAUGAUGAGUUACAAAAAAAUACUGACAACACAUGCUAUCUGCAUCCUAUUCAUUCAGAAGACAAAAGCAACAGCACGUCUGUUUCCGUCAAAAGCGUAAAUAACAGCUAUUUAUCUUUCCAUGAAUCGGAUCAAAACAGCCGUUCUGAUCAGUCUCAAAGAGAUGAAGACACUACAAGUUAUCUUCAUCCUUAUCAUACAGUUGAUGAAGAUUGGAAAGAGAAAACUCACCAGUAUGCUGUAGCACAUGUCCAACGCAAGGACACGGACGAUUCGUCUGAUUCUAGUACGCUAAUGAUAAACGAUGGAUACUUAAAUCCAUAUCAACCUCUGAAAGAAAGCUGGAAGCAAAUAUCGCACAGUUAUGACGCUCCUGUGACGGUUCAUCAAUGUCAACAAAGAAUAACAUUACCUUUCUCAUUUGAUGAUGAGAACCAAAUAAUUAAGGAUGAGCAAGAUAUGUUUCUUCCUAAAUUAUUAAAGAAAGACAAAUCGCCUGAAAUCUGUCAUAAAAACAAAAACGCAGUUACCAAUCCACAAUAUUAAUAUUGCAGGUUGUAUAACGGCAAUCAAACAAGAAAUAGAUGAUGUACCGAUGCUAUAAUCUCUGUAUUAACUUAUAAGGAAAUGAAAGAAAUUUCAAGGAGUACAAGCAAAAUUCCUCCAAUAUCAAAAGAUUUGAGAAAAAAAUGCAAUUCAUUUGAAAUAAUUGACAUAAGCACUUCUGCCUCAAAUUAUAGCGAUCGAAAUACAAACUUUAAAAUUUACGCAGCUGCUAAAUCGCAAUAGUCCUCGAAGAUUAGGUUAUAUAAUGUUAUGGUUGGGGACAGUUUGCUGGAGGUUGCACUUCUGUUUGUAUUAAUUACACAAUGUAAUUUCCGAUAAGAAGUCAUUUAAGGCUAAAACUGUGCCACUUUUACUAUGAAGUUUCGUAAAAAAUCCAGGGAUAAAAAGUUCAUAUGCACUACUAUUUUUGCAAAGGUCAAAACAUAGCGUUGUGCGGUGUUUUCUUUUUGAC